rnacentral:rRNA from 1 species
GACGUAGGGCGCGAGCGUUGUCCGGAUUUAUUGGGCGUAAAGAGCUCGUAGGCGGCUUGUCGCGUCGGACUGUGAAAACCCGCGGCUCAACCGCGGGCCUGCAGCCGAUACGGGCAGGCUAGAGUUCGGUAGGGGAGACUGGAAUUCCUGGUGUAGCGGUGAAAUGCGCAGAUAUCAGGAGGAACACCGGUGGCGAAGGCGGAUCUCGUGGGCCUGUCCUGACGCUGGAGGCGCGAAAGCUAGGGGAGCGAACAGG